CCGUAGAGGAGAAAUUUGAUUUGCGGAUAUGGGCUUCUAUGUCUACUACUAGUUCUAGCGUGAUGGAAGUUACGAAGUCCAUCAUAGAGUCUGCCACUAAAGCCAGUGUUACUCUUUCCACUCUUGACGCCGUUCAAAGACGACUUUCUGAAGUAGUCGAAAAUAAGAAGAUUUUUUUGGUGCUUGAUGAUAUGUGGGUGGAAAACCACAAUUAUUGGGAUGAGUUGAAGCUUCCAUUUGCAUAUGCCGGAACAGAAAGUAAGAUCUUGGUGACAACCCAGAGUACAAUGGUUUCCUCCAUUGUAGCCACAACUGGUGCUUAUAAUUUGGCGCCUCUGUCUGAUGAAGAGUGUUGGGAGAUUAUCAUGCAAAAAGCAUUGUCAAGUAGAAAUCUGUGUGGGAUGGAAAACUUGGAGGGAAUUGGUAAAGAAAUAGCAAAAAAAUGUUAUGGAGUACCAUUAGUAGCAAAGAUUUUAGGCUGUGUGCUGCGGCAAAGAUUGAAAGAAAAACAAUGGCAUGAGGUGUUGGAAGGUGAGAUUUGGGAGCUGGCACAAGUCAAAACAGAAGUCUUCCCAACCCUUAAAUUGGGUUUUGAUAGACUGUCUCCACAUUUGAGAAGGUGCUUUUUAUAUUGUUCUAUUUUUCAUUCGAAUUAUGAGUUUCAAAAGGACAAUCUUGUUCAAAUGUGGGUGGCCGAAGGAUUAGUUGUACAAGAAAAGAGGAGAGCAAUUUGGGAGGUUGGCAAGGACUAUUUUGAUGAUUUGUUAGGGAGGUCAUUUUUCUACGCGUCUGAUUUGGUUGGCUACCGACAACAGUACAAAAUGCAUGGCCUGCUCCACAAAUUGGCUGAACUGAUUUCGUCAGAUUUGUGCUUCCGAGUGGAGGAUACAAGCAUGGAGAUGAAAUUAUUAGGGAAACACAGAGGUGCUCGGCAUUCAUCUCUGACUUGUUCUGACUUUUUUCAGCCAUUAAGUUUAGAGCCAUUCCGUAGAUUCAAGAGACUAAGGACCUUUAUGUCAGAUGGGCUUGAAGGUGAAAUGGUUGAUUCUGGUUUCUUUAAAAAGCUGAAGCGUUUAAGGACCUUGCAUUUUAGAGGACUUGAUAUGAGAUUCAUUCCAGAUGCUAUUGAGCAUCUCAUACAUUUGCGUUAUCUUGAUGCCUCUUACUCAAAAAUAGUGGAGUUGCCUAGGGGAAUUGCUAACAUAAUUGGACUGCAGACAAUCAAACUCAGGGGUUGCAAGAACUUGAGACGUUUGCCCAAGAAUAUGAAAAAGUUGAUAGAAUUGCAACAUCUUGAAUUGGGCAGUGACACUCAAUUUAUGUUUAUGCCACCAGAAUUUGAGAAGUUAAAACAAUUGGAGACAUUUGAUGUGUUUGUUGUUGGGGACAAGCAAGGGAGCUCCAUUGCUGAACUUGAGAACUUAAAUAAUAUCAAAGGAGACCUCUCCAUCAUCGGUCUUGAAAAUGUUAGCAAAAAAGAAGAGGCAGAGACUGCGAAGUUGAGUGGAAAAUUGCACUUGGAAAACCUACAAUUGCGAUGGAAUCAAGAAAGUGAUAGCCAGCUUCAAUUAGAGGUGCUUAAUAGUCUUCAACCUCAUAUGGGAUUAAAGCGGUUGACAAUUGAAAAUUAUGGGCAUUUGGGGUUUUCAAAUUGGUUAGCUGACCCAUUGUUUUCUACUCUUAUCGAGCUCAUGUUGAAGGAUUGUCGAAAUUGUGCAUAUCUUCCUCUUCUCGGUCAACUUCCAGCUCUUGAAAUUCUUCUGAUUAGUGGGAUGCAUGAACUUGUAGAAAUUGACUCAACCUUCUGCGGUUUUGGGGGAAGUAGGGGUUUCAUGUCAUUGAAGUCAUUGGAACUUAAUGAUAUGCCAAAGUUAGAGAGAUGGGAAGGCUUACAAAGCACAUACAUGCCUUUUCUUCUCAAGCUUGUCAUUGAAGGAUGCCCACUUCUGAAAGUUCUACCCCUGCUUCAAUCUCUUAGCUCCCUUGAAACUUUAAAAUUUGCUGGAUGCACUCAUCUGCAGUCAUUGCCGGAGGGUCCACUACCUAAUACGGUAAAAUACUUUGAGAUAAAACAGUGUGACCUCCUCAAAGAGAGUUGUAGUGAAGAUGGAAGUGAUUGGAUGAAAAUUCGACAUAUUCCUAGGAUAGUGAUCGAUGGUCAAUUGAAAAGGGAUGUUUGAUGUAGGAGGCUUGAAGGCCUUUCCAGACACAACACUUGAGCUCAGGUAGCCAAAAGUUUAGAUCAAGAUAUAGUAGCAAGUUUCAAUGUUGAGAUGUCAGCUCAGCUUCUUGAAGACAAUAUCUUGCAGCUUCAGGAUGAUGAAACAGCUUGGUCAGUCAUGGUGUUGGUGUUCACUUUACAGUAGAGUUUGAGUGUCUUGGAGGGAUUGUUUGGGUUGUUCUUUUGGAGUUGUAAUAUGUACCCUUAUAUAUGGGUUUGUUGAUCUCUACUAAGUAUUGUUAUCUUUGGAUGAUGAAAAGCUGUUUGAUUUAUCUUGUUUAUUGUCUUUGGAAUUCCAUUGGUAUUGCAUUGUAUGACUCACAUAUGCAGAGAUUUUUUUAUGA